AUGGGAUUUCGGGUCAUUUUAAUGGGAUUUUGGUUCAUUUAUAUGGAAUUUGGGGUCAUUUUAUGGGAUUUCAGGUUAUUUUUGUGGGAUUUGGGGCCAUUUUUAUGGUAUUCGGGCUCAUUUAUGUGGGAUUUUGGGUCAUUUGGGGUAUCCCAUAAAAUUAUGAGAUUUGGGGUCAUUUAUAUGGGGUUUGGGUUAUUUAAUGGGAUUUUGGUUCAUUUGUAUGGGAUUUCAAGUCAUUUUAUGAGAUAUCGGGUCACUUCUAUGGGAUUUUGGGUCAUUUUGUGGGAUUUCAUGUCAUUUUUGGGUCAUUUUAAUGGGAUUUGGGCUCAUUUCUAUUGGAUUUGGGGGGAAUUUUGGGUCUUUUCUGUUAGGAUUUGGGGUCAUCUUAAUGGGAUUUCGGCUCAUUUUAUGGUAUUUUGGGGGUAAUUUUUGGUGAUUUUAUUCAAUUUUGGGCCCAAUUCUUGUGAUUUUGGUUAAUUUUGGGUGUAAUUUGGCCUUAGAACGAGCUGACGGCGGAGGAGAAGCGCCGCGCUCACCAGAAGGAGCUGGCGACGCAGCUGAACGAGGAGGCGCGACGGCGGCUGACGGAGCAGAAGGGCGAGCAGCAGAUACAGAAGUAACCAAAAAUGGGCCGUUUUGGGGCUUUUUGGGCGGAUUUGGGGCUUUUUGGAGUGGAUUUUGGGGUCAUUUUGAGGUCUUUCAGGGGAGGUUGGGGUCACUUUGGGUGGAUUUGGGGCUUUUUGGGGGAUUUUGGGGUGGAUUUGGGGUUUUUUUGAGGGGGGGAUUUGGGUCAUUUUGGGGGGAUUUGGGGUCAUUUAGGGGGGAUUUGGGGUCAUUUUGGGAUCAGAAAGGGGGAUUUUAGGGUCAGAAAGGGGGGUUUUGGGUCCUUUUGGGUCAGAAAGGGGGAUUUUUGGGUGGAUUUGGGAUCUAGGGUUGGAUUUUGGGGUCAGAAAGGGAGAUUUUGGGGUCAGAUAGGGGGAUCCUUUUGGGGUCAUUUUUGUGUGGCUUUUGGGGCAUUUUGGGUCAUUUUAGGGGGAUUUGGGGUUUUUGGGGCAUAUUUGGGGCUUUUUGGGGUGGAAUUUGGGGUCUUUCAGGGUUUGGGGUCAGAAAGUGGGGUUUUGGGGAGGAAUUUGGGGUCAUUUUGGGGGCUAUUUGGGUGGAUUUGGGGUUAUUUUGAGGGGGGGAUUUGGGUCAUUUUGGCGGGAUUUGGGUCAUUUUGGGGGGAUUUGGGGCUUUUUGGGCAGAUUUGGGGCUUUUUAGGGUCUUUUGGGGAGAAUUUGGGGUCAUUUUGAGAUAUUUAGGGCAUUUUUGGGAUGGAUUUGGAGUGGUUUGAUGGGAUUUGGGGUCAUUUUUGGGUGGUUUGGGGUUCAUUUUAGGGUGGAUUUGGGGCUUUUUGGGCCGAUUUGGGGCUUUUUGGAGUAGAUUU
rnacentral:lncRNA from 1 species